UCUGCAAUGAGUUGACAUUGAUGUCAAGUAUGAGGCAUCAUGGUAGAUAUGAAGAUGGGAGAGUUACCAGAGAGAAGAAGGUGUAGAAACAGGUGAGUUUGAGCAUGAAGAAGACUGUUCUGAGAGGGAGGAGCAGAGUCCCUCUUGACCAUUUCUGGAGAAUGGCUUCUCUCUUGCUGACGGAGAGCUCUGAGAAUUUAUGAAGGAAGGGCCAUUUCCAAUCCAGAGAAGCGCCGCCGCACAGCAAGAGGGUGCCCAGCCG
rnacentral:lncRNA from 1 species